CUGUCAGCCAACUGCAUUGAUGGGAGACUCCUCCUUGAAGGGAGACCCAGCAGCACCUGUCCCGGUGAGGGUGCAUGGAACGGUGGGUGUCUUUCUUGCUGCCUCGUGAGGACACCUGACCCAACAGUGAUGCUAACGCAGAGGACAGAACACCCUUGAUGGAAGAAAAUACUGUGUUGCCCAUUCUACAGCAAGGAAUGUACAAGAUUUAUACUAGAGGAUGUUGACAUGCUUCUACCCAAACAGUCACAGGGCACACGGGUUCGAGUCCUAGUCCGGGAAGAUCCCACAUGCCACGGAGCAACUAAGUCUGUGCACCACAACUACUGAGCCUGCAC